CUGAGCCAGAAUGAGCUUUAUUACGAGAAAGCCUCAAGGUGGGUGGGAGCAAAGGGGGCCGUGUGAGAACAAUGGGAGAGUCGGCUCUAAGUGGAAGAAGAGAAAGAGCCACCAUCUACAGCAUGGAGUGGGGUUGGGGGGAGACAACCUUCACAAGGUUCACAGCUUUUCGGGGUAUGUGUAUGAAGGGGAGUCAGUCUUCCUUAGCCUCUGUGACUCCUGGGUUCACUGAACCAGCAUCCUGCCACUGAAGAGCAACCUGCUGGUCCAGACCAAAAGUCAGUAUAUGACAACAAAACUAUAGGAACAAGGGCUGGAGAGUAGCUCAGCCUUUAAUCCCAGCACUUGGGAGGAGACAGGAAACAAUUGGAAACUUCAGGCAGCCUGUUGACUGGAAUGCCCCGUUGGAGACCCAUCACCCAGAAUCAGAGAGCUUCAAGGAAUUAAGUUUGAGUUUAUUGAGCCAAUGUUUACAAAGCCCUCUUGAAAAACCUUGCUGGCCAGGUAUGGUAGCAUCUGUCAUCUGACCAUUCUGAAAGCAGAGGCAGGAGAAUUUCGGCAAGUUCACUAGCCUGGUCUACACAGCUCUAAGUUAUCAAGGUACAUGGAGAGACCCUGACUCAAAACAAAACAACCUCCAUGUUGUCCCUUAAAACAAACAAACAAAAACCAAAG
rnacentral:lncRNA from 1 species